rnacentral:rRNA from 1 species
UACAGAGGGGGCAAGCGUUAUUCGGAAUUAUUGGGCGUAAAGGGUGUGUAGGUGGUUAUGUUAGUCUUGUGUUAAAUUCUUCGGCUCAACCGGGGGUCUGCAUGGGAAACGGCAUAACUAGAGGAUAGGAGAGGUGUGUGGAACUCAUAGUGUAGGGGUGAAAUCCGUUGAUAUUAUGGGGAACACCAAAUGCGAAGGCAGCACACUGGCCUACUCCUGACACUGAAACACGAAAGCGUGGGUAGCGAAUGGG